rnacentral:rRNA from 1 species
GAAAGGCGGAGAUUCAACGCGUAAUCGUUGAACUGUUGCAGGAUCUUCCGGCGACUGGCGUGCCCUGGCGUUAUCACGCCGCGUACGUCGCGUACGGGGACCGCUUCGGUUACGACCGCGUGCAAUUCUCCGUGAGUAGGACGUCGCGACCCGUUGGGCGCCGGUCUAAGGCCCGUCCGGGAGGCCGUCGGGACGGCGUGCGGUUAAUCCCGCCGUCGUUAUCCCGGCGGACCGGUGCGGUGUCCCGGCCGGCUCGCUCGACGGUACGAUAGUGGAGUGUUAGGGCCGCCGUUUGUUGGCGUCCGACCCGUCGCAAGCUCGGCGAAGUUCCGACGG